rnacentral:rRNA from 1 species
UGCAUGUCUAAGUAUAAGCAAUUAUACAGCGAAACUGCGAAUGGCUCAUUAAAUCAGUUAUCGUUUAUUUGAUAGUACCUUACUACAUGGAUAACCGUGGUAAUUCUAGAGCUAAUACAUGCUGAAAACCCCGACUUCGGAAGGGGUGUAUUUAUUAGAUUAAAAGCCAAUGCCCUUCGGGGCUCACUGGUGAUUCAUGAUAACUUCUCGAAUCGCACGGCCUUGCGCCGGCGAUGGUUCAUUCAAAUUUCUGCCCUAUCAACUUUCGACGGCUGGGUCUUGGCCAGCCGUGGUGACAACGGGUAACGGAGGGUUAGGGCUCGACCCCGGAGAAAACGCCUGAGAAACGGCGUUUACAUCCAAGGAAGGCAGCAGGCGCGCAAAUNUUACCCAAUGCCGGACACGGCGAGGUAGUGACGAGAAAUACUGAUACAGGGCUCUUUUGGGUCUUGUAAUUGGAAUGAGUACAAUUUAAAUCUCUUAACGAGGAACAAUUGGAGGGCAAGUCUGGUGCCAGCAGCCGCGGUAAUUCCAGCUCCAAUAGCGUAUAU